rnacentral:rRNA from 1 species
CAAUAGCGUAUAUUUAAGUUGUUGCAGUUAAAAAGCUCGUAGUUGGAUUUCGGGUGGGACGCAGCGGUCUCGCAUUGCGUUUGUACUGCUGCAGCCCUCCUUCUUGCCGGGGGCGGCCUCUCGGACUUCACUGUCUGGGGGUCAGCAUCGGCGAUGUUACUUUGAGUAAAUUAGAGUGUUCAAAGCAAGCUUACGCUCUGAAUAUAAUAGCAUGGGAUAACACGACAGGACUCUGGCCUAUCGUGUUGGUCUAUAGGACCAGAGUAAUGAUUAAGAGGGACAGUCGGGGGCAUUCGUAUUCCGUUGUCAGAGGUGAAAUUCUUGGAUUUACGGAAGACGAACAUCUGCGAAAGCAUUUGCCAAGGAUGUUUUCAUUGA